rnacentral:rRNA from 1 species
AGUGAACGCUGGCGGUAGGCCUAACACAUGCGAGUCGGACGGCAGCACAGUAAGAGCUUGCUCUUACGGGUGGCGAGUGGCGGACGGGUGAGGAAUACAUCGGAAUCUACUUUUUCGUGGGGGAUAACGUAGGGAAACUUACGCUAAUACCGCAUACGACCUACGGGUGAAAGCAGGGGAUCUUCGGACCUUGCGCGAUUGAAUGAGCCGAUGUCUGAUUAGCUAGUUGGCGGGGUAAAGGCCCACCAAGGCGACGAUCCGUAGCUGGUCUGAGAGGAUGAUCAGCCACACUGGAACUGAGACACGGUCCAGACUCCUACGGGAGGCAGCAGUGGGGAAUAUUGGACAAUGGGCGCAAGCCUGAUCCAGCCAUACCGCGUGGGUGAAGAAGGCCUUCGGGUUGUAAAGCCCUUUUGUUGGGAAAGAAAAGCAGCAGGUUAAUACCCCGCUGUUCUGACGGUACCCAAAGAAUAAGCACCGGCUAACUUCGUG